rnacentral:rRNA from 1 species
GACGAACGCUGGCGGCGUGCUUAACACAUGCAAGUCGAACGGAAAGGCCCUGCUUUUGUGGGGUGCUCGAGUGGCGAACGGGUGAGUAACACGGGAGUAACCUGCCCUGGACUUUGGGAUAACUUCAGGAAACUGGGGCUAAUACCGGAUAGGAGCGCCUGCUGCAUGGUGGGGGUUGGAAAGUUUCGGCGGUUGGGGAUGGACUCGCGGCUUAUCAGCUUGUUGGUGGGGUAGUGGCUUACCAAGGCUUUGACGGGUAGCCGGCCUGAGAGGGUGACCGGCCACAUUGGGACUGAGAUACGGCCCAGACUCCUACGGGAGGCAGCAGUGGGGAAUAUUGCACAAUGGGCGGAAGCCUGAUGCAGCAACGCCGCGUGCGGGAUGACGGCCUUCGGGUUGUAAACCGCUUUCGCCUGUGACGAAGCGUGAGUGACGGUAAUGGGUAAAGAAGCACCGGCUAACUACGUG